CCUACGGGUGGCAGCAGUCGAGAAUCAUUCACAAUGGGGGAAACCCUGAUGGUGCGACGCCGCGUGGGGGAAUGAAGGUCUUCGGAUUGUAAACCCCUGUCAUGUGGGAGCAAAUUAAAAAGAUAGUACCACAAGAGGAAGAGACGGCUAACCCUGUGCCAGCUGCCGCGGUAAUACAGAGGUCUCAAGUGUUGUUCGGAAUCGCUGGGUGUAAAGCGUGCGUAGGCUGUUUCGUAAGUCGUGUGUGAAUGGCGCGGGCUCAACCCGCGGACGGCACAUGAUACUGGGAGACUAGAGUAAUAGAGAGGGAACCGGAAUUCUCGGUGUAGCAGUGAAAUGCGUAGAUAUCGAGAGGAACACUCGUGGCGAAGGCAGGUUCCUGGGCAUUAACUGACGCUGAGGCACGAAGGCCAGGGGAGCGAAAGGGAUUAGAUACCCUAGUAGUC
rnacentral:rRNA from 1 species